rnacentral:rRNA from 1 species
ACGGGUGAGUAACACGUAGCUUACCUCCCUCCGAGAGUGGGAUAACGUUCCGAAAGGAAUGCUAAUACCGCAUAAGCUCACGAGCUACAGAGGCUGGUGAGAAAAGGGGCAACUCGCUUGGAGACGGGGCUGCGGCCCAUCAGCUAGAUGGUGAGGUAACGGCUUACCAUGGCGACGACGGGUAGGGGACCUGAGAGGGUGACCCCCCACACUGGGACUGAGACACGGCCCAGACUCCUACGGGAGGCAGUAGUGAGGAAUAUUGCACAAUGGGCGCAAGCCUGAUGCAGCGACGCCGCGUGAGUGAAGAAGGCCUUCGGGUCGUAAAGCUCUUUUCUGCGUGACGAGCAAGGACGGUAGCGCAGGAAUAAGUCUCGGCUAACUACGUGCCAGCAGCCGCGGUAAAACGUAGGAGACAAACGUUAUCCGGAGUUACUGGGCGUAAAGGGCGUGCAGGUGGUCUGUUAAGUCUGGCGUGAAAGCUCCUGGCUAAACCGGGAGAGGUCGUCGGAUACUGGCGGACUAGAGGACGGUAGAGGCGUGUGGAAUUCCGGGUGUAGUGGUGAAAUGCGUAGA